rnacentral:misc_RNA from 1 species
GAUGAAGAACGCAGCGAAAUGCGAUAAGUAAUGUGAAUUGCAGAAUUCAGUGAAUCAUCGAAUCUUUGAACGCACAUUGCGCCCGCUGGAAUUCCAGCGGGCAUGCCUGUUCGAGCGUCAUUUCACCCCUCAAGCCUUGCUUGGUGUUGGAGCACUACCGUUUGUAUAAAGCGGUAGGCUCUGAAAUUCAGUGGCGGGCUCGCUAAGACUCUGAGCGUAGUAGUUUAUCACCUCGCUUUGGAAGGAUUAGCGGUGCUCUUGCCGUAAAACCCCCCAACUUCUGAAUUUUGACCUCGGAUCAGGUAGGAAUACCCGCUGAACUUAAGCAUAUCAAUAAGCGGAGGA